UACGUAGGUGGCAAGCGUUGUUCGGAAUUACUGGGCGUAAAGGGCUCGUAGGCGGCCAACUAAGUCGGACGUGAAAUCCCUCGGCUUAACCGGGGAACUGCGUCCGAUACUGGAUGGCUUGAGUUUGGGAGAGGGAUGCGGAAUUCCAGGUGUAGCGGUGAAAUGCGUAGAUAUCUGGAGGAACACCGGUGGCGAAGGCGGCAUCCUGGACCAACACUGACGCUGAGGAGCGAAAGCCAGGGGAGCAAACGGG
rnacentral:rRNA from 1 species